rnacentral:rRNA from 1 species
UAGGGAAUCUUCCACAAUGGACGCAAGUCUGAUGGAGCAACGCCGCGUGAGUGAAGAAGGUCUUCGGAUCGUAAAGCUCUGUUGUUGGUGAAGAAGGAUAGAGGCAGUAACUGGUCUUUAUUUGACGGUAAUCAACCAGAAAGUCACGGCUAACUACGUGCCAGCAGCCGCGGUAAUACGUAGGUGGCAAGCGUUGUCCGGAUUUAUUGGGCGUAAAGCGAGCGCAGGCGGAAUGAUAAGUCUGAUGUGAAAGCCCACGGCUCAACCGUGGAACUGCAUCGGAAACUGUCAUUCUUGAGUGCAGAAGAGGAGAGUGGAACUCCAUGUGUAGCGGUGGAAUGCGUAGAUAUAUGGAAGAACACCAGUGGCGAAGGCGGCUCUCUGGUCUGCAACUGACGCUGAGGCUCGAAAGCAUGGGUAGCGAACAGGAUUAGAUACCCUGGUAGUCCAUGCCGUAAACGAUGAGCGCUAGGUGUUGGGGACUUUCCGGUCCUCAGU